GCAAGUCGAGCGAUGAAGUUUCUUCGGAAAUGGAUUAGCGGCGAACGGGUGAGGAACACGUGAAGAAUCUGCCCUCCACUUUGGGAUAACACCGGGAAACCGGUGCUAAUACCGAAUAUUGAAACAUAAGUGGCAUCACUGAGUUUUUAAAGAAUUUCGGUGGAGGAUGACUUCGCGGCCUAUCAGCUAGUUGGUGAGGUAAUGGCUCACCAAGGCAACGACGGGUAGCCGGCCUGAGAGGGCGACCGGCCACACUGGGACUGAGACACGGCCCAGACUCCUACGGGAGGCAGCAGUGGGGAAUAUUGGGCAAUGGAGGAAACUCUGACCCAGCGACGCCGCGUGCGGGAUGAAGGCCUUCGGGUUGUAAACCGCUUUCAGUAGGGAAGAAGCGAAAGUGACGGUACCUACAAAAGAAGCACCGGCUAACUAUGUGCCAGCAGCCGCGGUAAUACAUAGGGUGCAAGCGUUGUCCGGAAUUAUUGGGCGUAAAGAGCUCGUAGGUCGUUUGCCACGUCGGAUGUGAAAACCUGAGGCUCAACCUCAGGCCUGCAUUCGAUACGAGCAAACUAGAGUUUGGUAGGGGAGACUGGAAUUCCUGGUGUAGCGGUGGAAUGCGCAGAUAUCAGGAGGAACACCAACGGCGAAGGCAGGUCUCUGGGCCAAUACUGACACUGAGGAGCGAAAGUCUGGGGAGCGAACAGGAUUAGAUACCCUGGUAGUCCAGACCGUAAACGGUGGGCACUAGUUGUGGGAACCUUCCACGGUUUCUGCGACGCAGCUAACGCAUUAAGUGCCCCGCCUGGGGAGUACGAUCGCAAGAUUAAAACUCAAAGGAAUUGACGGGGCCCCGCACAAGCAGCGGAGCAUGCGGCUCAAUUCGACGCAACG
rnacentral:rRNA from 1 species